rnacentral:scRNA from 1 species
AAAUUGCGACUAUCCUCACCAAGUUGGCAAAG